rnacentral:piRNA from 1 species
AUCCUGACGUCUAUCCCUCUGCCUG